rnacentral:ncRNA from 2 species
UUUUCGCACUCUGGAGAGCGGCAGUAGCCAUCGCGCAAACGCGCGGGCAGGCUGCCCACCGAAGGGGCGCGCGUUCGCCGGGCAUCACCCGCGGCGCAAUCUCUCAGGUAUCGAGGACAGAGGGGCAUGU